rnacentral:rRNA from 1 species
GACGAACCGAGCGAACGUUGUUCGGAAUCACUGGGCUUAAAGAGUGUGUAGGCGGUGCUCUAAGUUCGGUGUGAAAUCUCCCGGCUUAACUGGGAGGGUGCGCCGGAAACUGGAGUGCUCGAGCGUGGGAGAGGAAAGCGGAAUUCCUGGUGUAGCGGUGAAAUGCGUAGAUAUCAGGAGGAACACCUGCGGUGUAGACGGCUUUCUGGACCAUUGCUGACGCUGAGACACGAAAGCGUGGGUAGCAAACAGG